GCGUAAUUACCAUCACGGGCGGAAAAAGCAGGUUGGGGUCAGGAGGGGUCACAGUGAGGUCAGAUCUGGGGACAGAUCUGGAGGGGAACAACAGAGAUCCCCUCUCCGGGGCCCUGCAGCACAAAAACACCCCCACAGUGUGGGAAAGGGCCCGGGUGGAUCCCUCACCAUCAUCCUCCUGGCCUGGGAACCUGCCGGUGGGUUCCAGCAAGCCGAAAAGGAAAAAUAGAAGGGAAAUAGGAGGGGGCAUCCCGGUUACCACAGCAUCCUCCAUGUUCAGAUGUUGUUGCAGUUCCUGUAUUGCCAGAUCCUGGAGAGGAGUUAAAGGAAACCACAGCCUGGUGCUGAGAGCAGAUUGAGAUCUUGUGGCUGCUGCAGGAAGCCUGCUCCCAGGUAUCUUCCAGCAGAGAGCAUACAGCCUGCAGCAAGUUCCUAAGCUGGCAGGUGCCUUGUUCCAUCCCAGGCUCAUGGUUAUCACAGCUGCUUGCUGUCUAGGGCAGCCUCACACUGGAGAAAGUGAUGGGAGAAAGCAGCCGGGGUGACACACAGCAGUGUGUGCACGGCAUGGCCACACACCGUGCAGCAUGCUAGGCAUCCCCCCACAAGCAGACCAGUAUGGUGGAUGAGAACGUGGCUUUGGAGCUAAUGGGACUGAGACAAGCACCGAGAGCUGACCCUGCUCUCACCUCCAUGGCUCUGAGCGUUGUGGAUGCAGAAGAUAUCCCUGCUGUGUCCACCCUCUAAGCUGAGGGACCACAUCGAUGCCACUGCACAGAGCAGGAGGCACCUGGCCAAGCAGGGAUGGUGAAUGGAGCAGCGUGGAGCACGCGGUCGGUGACUCAGCUGUGACCUGGCUGCACCAACCCCAGCCUUUCGCAACGUGUUUACCAGGAUGCAGGCAGCCUUUGCUGCGCAUGAAGGGCGGCCUCAGCCCCAAACCUGCUUGCCAGGCUCCCCACCCCACGCUGCUCUGCUCCUGUAAGUGAUGCCCGUGCUGAGGUCAGGCAGCGUCCUCCCAGCGCAGCCAAAAUCAUCCUAAACACAGCCCCGUGGGAGGUGGUGGCACACUGUGGUGGUGUAUCAUUGCAGGGAGGAUGGCAGAAAUUCCCCUGCUUUCCUGAUGCCCUUUGCUGAGCUGUGUCCCAGCCACCCCCCACCUCCUGCAGCUCUCACGUACGUGUCCCAGGUGGGCAGAGCACAGAAAACCAUGGGCAAAUCCCUUCUGACAGAGGAUUUUGGAGCAAAAGGCAUAGUUUUGAAAGUUUUCCCUGGAGGAAAGCCAAGGGCAACAGAUCCGAGCCAUAUUCUGUUUUGUUUCUACAUCUUGUGGAGUCUGAGAUGGGAAAUGGCGGUGCCCCAAAGUCCUGGAGGGGGUGAAUGCAGAUUUGUGAUUGCAGCGCUGCCAGGGAUGAGCAAGAAUCGGCCAUCAGCGCUCCUGCAGCCACUGAGACUGAGCCCACCCAUGGGCAGGACAUGUGGGGACCCCACGAAAGAGGUCUGAGGUCCAUCAGGCAAUUCUGGCACGGCCACACCGAUCCUUGCUGCACUGCGCGCCGCAGAGCACUGCAGAGCGAUGCUACCAUUUCCAAGAGUGCUGCUUGUGUGUGACCACGAGGACUCUGCCCAGAUGCCCAUUUUCCAGUAGCUAAACUUAAAUCUCAGCUCCUGGUUGAGCAAACCGUGUGUGCCCACAUCCCGCCGGGCUCUCUGCUGGCGGCUCUCCACCUCGUGUCAGCUCCCAGCGCCAACGGCUGAGGAGGGACGUGUGUCACUGCAUUGUCCCCGGGAUAUUUAGUGCUGCCCCGUGCGGUUACCCGGCACGGCUCAGGCUGGCAGCAGCUCUCACUGCAGGCACAGACCGGCAUUCCCAGUCUGGCAGAGCUGCAGCGAGGGCACAAUGGGUGGCUGCGCAGUGCUGCUGUUGGAGACGUGCACACUGCAGGGUGCUGUGCCAGGGCUGGGCGCUGCUGCUGGCGCACUCUCGGGCUGCAGGGCUCGACUGCCUGCACUGCCGCAGCGGUGCCCGCGCCCUCACCCCGGCACAGCAGCGGGACGUGGGGCAGGGCAGGGCCUGCGAUGAAAGAGAAGCGUCUGCAUCCACCCCAUGCCAGGAAUAUCUGCCCGUGGGGCGUGUGCUGCCGUGGGCACGGCUGCUCCCACCGCUGCAGUUUCCCUGAGCUGCAGCCCCAAAGGCACACAGCCCCCCCCCGGCGGUGCGGUGCCCGGGGCUGCCCCGCAGCGGGGCUGGGCGGGUUGUGGCCGUUGUAGGAUGUAAAAUUUGAACCCACAUCGCCGGGGGGCGGAGGGAGGCGGAGCCGCGGGGCACAUCCG
ensembl:lncRNA